CCUACGGGAGGCUGCAGUGAGGAAUAUUGGUCAAUGGCCGAGAGGCUGAACCAGCCAAGUCGCGUGAGGGAAGACGGCCCUACGGGUUGUAAACCUCUUUUGUCGGGGAGCAAAGAGAGUCACGUGUGACUCAUUGAGAGUACCCGAAGAAAAAGCAUCGGCAAACUCCGUGCCAGCAGCCGCGGUAAUACGGAGGAGGCGAGCGUUAUCCGGAUUUGCUGGGUUUAAGGGGUGCGCAGGGGGAGGUGCAAGUCAGCGGUAAAAUUGCGGGGCUCAACCCCGUACUGCCGUUGAAACUGCAUCCCUUGAGUGCGCGAGAAGUAUGAGGAAGGCGUGGUGUAGCGGUGAAAUGCAUAGAUAGCACGCAGAACUCCGAUUGCGAAGGCAGCAUACCGGCGCGCAACUGACGCUCAUGCACGAAAGCGUGGGUAUCGAACAGGAUUAGAUACCCUAGUAGUC
rnacentral:rRNA from 1 species